rnacentral:lncRNA from 1 species
UCUCUCUCUCCCCUCCACGCCGACGACCCUCUCCCUCCCUCACAACCCAUUCCCCCUCGACCCCCACUGAACCAAGAACCCUAGCCAACCCUUCUCAAGACAUCCAAAAAAGUUCUCUUUCCCCGUGACCACCCACAAGAGCCCUUCCUCCUCCCACCCUCUAAGAACCUGUAGGCCAAUCCAAUCCACAACCCACCCGCCACCCCCACCCCCUAAUCCCCGAAACUCAAAACCCAUCCGCAACUCCACCCCUUAGAUGCAAAGUGUUUGAUUUUUUUUUCUUUUUUAAAGUUUUGAAUUUGCAGAGAGAGAGAGAGAGAGAGAGGAUCUAGACGGGGAUGGGGCUGGGGUGGAUAUCGGGUGGUGAGGUGGGAUGGAUAGCGGGGAGUGAAACCUUAGGGUUGGCUGGGAAGCAUUUUUGCUUUUCGAACCCCAACCAAAAAGUGGCCGGAAUGGCCUGAAAACUCACCUUAACCGUCGGCUGAAAUGGGUGUCAAAAUCAAUCUUUCAAACUACAAAGUCAAUCCCAAAUACCCAUACCAAUAGCUAGAGCACAAAGAGAUAAUGAAGUUUCAUACCUUAAUCGACGAAAUUGGUCGCCAAAAAAAAGCCAUUAACAGCGGUGAAAAGCUUCGAAACCCUCGGAUGCUUGAGAGCUAGAAAUGGUGUCGUGCAUGAGUUGGGGUGGCUGGUUCUUUAGCCUAACGUGAUCGACGACCCAUGGUGGUCAUUUUUCGACCGGUGAUGUGGCCUGUCGUGGUCGGACAGCAACGAUUGCCAUCUCCCA